rfam:Haemonchus contortus, ISE/inbred ISE, WGS project CAVP01000000 data, contig: Hcontortus_16180
GGCACAGACUUGAAGUAGAGUAGAAUAGUAGGGUCAGCUGGUUCUACUUGUCUACUCCACUUCAAUCCUGUCCCC